rnacentral:rRNA from 1 species
GAUGAACGCUAGCUACAGGCUUAACACAUGCAAGUCGAGGGGUAGCAGGGUAGCAAUACCGCUGACGACCGGCGCACGGGUGAGUAACGCGUAUCCAACCUGCCCCCAACUAGGGAAUAACCUUGCGAACGUAAGACUAAUACCCUAUAAUUUCCUCAGAUGACAUCUGACGAGGAAUAAAGAUUUAUCGGUUGUGGAUGGGGAUGCGUCUGAUUAGAGUGGUGGCGGGGUAACGGCCCACCAAGGCAACGAUCAGUAGGGGUUCUGAGAGGAAGGUCCGCCACAAUGGAACUGAGACACGGUCCAAACUCCUACGGGAGGCAGCAGUGAGGAAUAUUGGUCAAUGGGCGGAAGCCUGAACCAGCCAAGUAGCGUGCAGGAUGACGGCCCUAUGGGUUGUAAACUGCUUUUAUACAGGAAUAAAGUUAGCCACGUGUGGUUAUUUGUAGGUACUGUAUGAAUAAGGACCGGCUAAUUCCGUGCCAGCCGCCGCCGUAA